rnacentral:tRNA from 1 species
UUAGCUGAGUCGGUAAAGAAUCUGCCUGCAGUGCAGGAGAUCAGGGUUCAGUCCCUGA